UGAAAAGCCAGUUCUCAUCUGAUCAGCAAAGUUAAGCAACAUUAAGCAUGGUCAGUACCGAGAUGGGUGACUACUUAGGAAUGUCAGGUGCUGUAAG